GCGGCACCGGGUGGACCCGCUUGUUCCCGCCUCCCUCUUCGCCCAGCCAGUUCCCGUUGGCUGUCUGUCUGGGACAGGCACAAUGAUGGCGCUCCUGGAGCUCGGGGGCGGGGAGCUUUUCAGAGUGUAGAAUUUUCCUGCGAGUUGGACUCUUCACCAACUGACUGUCCCGAGGGGGCUGAAGCUGCUGCCCGGGUCAGUGGCGAGGUUCGGCGCAAUCUCUGGCUUGUAACUAGAGUCCGACGCUGGAUGCGCGGGGUGACGGUGCUGUCUUCACUAGGUGGAAGAAGGAUCCAUAGGUUCCCAAAGGUGACCUUUGGGUCAGCCAGAAAUGUGAAAAGUUUGACUUGCUCUCUCCUCCAAGUGAGAGGAAACAAAUUAAAUCGGUUUGGGCUGGAGCAAAGCGAUAGAUACACUAGAGGCAAAGAAGGGCAAAAAACACUCCAGCCUUUGCUUCAGCGUGGCUGCUGCUGCUGAUACAGCCCCUCCCAGCAUUCCAU
rnacentral:lncRNA from 1 species